rnacentral:rRNA from 1 species
GACGUAGGGUGCAAGCGUUGUCCGGAUUUAUUGGGCGUAAAGAGCGUGUAGGCGGCUCGAUAAGUCUGCUGUGAAAGUCCAGGGCUCAACCCUGGAAGGCCGGUGGAAACUGUCGGGCUAGAGUCCGGAAGAGGCGAGUGGAAUUCCCGGUGUAGCGGUGAAAUGCGUAGAUAUCAGGAGGAACACCGAUGGCGAAGGCAGGUCUCUGGGCUGACACUGACGCUCAUGCACGAAAGCGUGGGGAGCAAACAGG